rnacentral:rRNA from 1 species
UACGAAGGGGGCUAGCGUUGCUCGGAAUCACUGGGCGUAAAGCGCACGUAGGCGGAUCUUUAAGUCAGGGGUGAAAUCCUGGAGCUCAACUCCAGAACUGCCUUUGAUACUGAAGAUCUUGAGUUCGGGAGAGGUGAGUGGAACUGCGAGUGUAGAGGUGAAAUUCGUAGAUAUUCGCAAGAACACCAGUGGCGAAGGCGGCUCACUGGCCCGGUACUGACGCUGAGGUGCGAAAGCGUGGGAGCAAACAGG